GAAUGAGGAAAGUGUGUCCAGCAGGCUAAGAUAAAAGAUGCUGCCAGACUUGCUGAAUUUCUCCAGCACUUUGUUUAUAUUACCAUUUAAUCCCGAACUGUCACCAGGAUCACUUAAUAACUAACUGCUCAGAGAAGCAAAAGAUUCCUAUUUCAAGAUGAGAAUGUAUUCACAGACAGUGCUGGAGGCAAAACAUCAGCACUGAGGAAGUGGACGGGACAUUGUCUCCCUGCUCAAGUGGAUAUAGAUGAUCCUGUGGCGCUACUUUUGAGUCCAAUCAUUUGUCGCCAAGUCAACAUCACGGUGAGAAAAAAAAACAUUAUCUAGUCAUUAUCACGUUGCCGAUUGUGGGAGUUUGUUAUAGACACCUUAGAUAUCACUACCCUGUGGAACAGUUACUAUACUCCAAAAAUAUUUUGUUGUUUGCAAGAUGCUUUAAGAGGGCUGUUGGUCUACAAUGAAAGUAUGCAGGGCACUUGUGGUGCAGUGGUAGUGUCCAAACCUCUGGAUAAGCGAGCCUGGAUUCAAAUCUCUAGAAAUGUGUAGUAGUGUAUCUGUGCAGGGUAAUUUUAAAAAAAUCUAUAAUGCAAGUUGAUUUUUUAAAAUUAAAACACUGAAUUAUAAUUUCUGGUUCUA